GCGAGGAUGCUGAAGGGAAGGGAAAAGAAAAGCUGGAGGAGGGUGGCUUCGCAGGCAGGGUAAACAGCACAGCCAGAUGGCUGCCAUCAUUUCCCGCCACUCCAGUCGCCCUCCUACCUCCAAGUCACAGGCAGGCUUCACUUCACUCCAUGCCCCAAAGGGAGAAGCGAGACUCAGAGAAGUCCCAUGAAACUAAGCUGAGAAGCAGACAGCAGAACAAAAGUUCAAGCCCCACGUUCUGCGCCUUCAGGCAAUGGCCAUAAAACAAGAGGUCACAGCCACGGAAUGGCUCGAGCCCCAGCUCUCAUCACAGGGAAAUGGGGAAGCUCUGCAAACCUGGGCCAGGGCACAGCUUGGGCAAUCUGUCACCAGUGUGCAGAGUCAGCUGAGAAACACAAUCCUGCCCAGGCUUUCUGUGGCUGCGGCCAAGAGGGUAGGGCUGCUGGGCUGAAGGCUGUCAAGUGACCGGGCAAAAAAAGCCAGCCUCGGCCUGCAUGGCCGCAGCAGUCCCUCCUGCAACAGAAUAAUUCCUCUUAGUGGGAACAGGCCUCCCACGCUUAUCACAAAGCACGGGCUACCCUUCCAAUGGGGCUGGAGGAGCUUUACAAAAAGAAAAGGAAGUCGCCCUUACAUCUUGCGGAAGUUUAAAGACACCUGGAGAAUGAAAUCUUGGAUUUUACUUUCCUGAAAGGCUGAGGCUAGGCACAAUUCUCUGCCUUUGUUCCCCUCCUUUGUCUUGGUUAAAUGUUCCUGGCCAUGCUGUA